UACGAAGGGUGCAAGCGUUACUCGGAAUUACUGGGCGUAAAGCGUGCGUAGGUGGUUUGUUAAGUCUGAUGUGAAAGCCCUGGGCUCAACCUGGGAAUGGCAUUGGAAACUGGCUUACUAGAGUGCGGUAGAGGGUAGCGGAAUUCCCGGUGUAGCAGUGAAAUGCGUAGAUAUCGGGAGGAACAUCCGUGGCGAAGGCGGCUACCUGGACCAGCACUGACACUGAGGAGCGAAAGCGUGGGGAGCGAACAGG
rnacentral:rRNA from 1 species